rnacentral:rRNA from 1 species
UUUGAGUUUGAUCAUGGCUCAGGACGAACGCUGGCGGCGUGCUUAACACAUGCAAGUCGAACGGGAAAGGCCCUGCUUGCAGGGUGCUCGAGUGGCGAACGGGUGAGUAACACGUGGGUGAUCUGCCCCUGACUUUGGGAUAAGCCUGGGAAACUGGGUCUAAUACCGGAUAUGACCAAGGAUUGCAUGGUUCUUGGUGGAAAGCUUUUGCGGUUGGGGAUGGGCCCGCGGCCUAUCAGCUUGUUGGUGGGGUAAUGGCCUACCAAGGCGACGACGGGUAGCCGACCUGAGAGGGUGAUCGGCCACACUGGGACUGAGACACGGCCCAGACUCCUACGGGAGGCAGCAGUGGGGAAUAUUGCACAAUGGGCGCAAGCCUGAUGCAGCGACGCCGCGUGAGGGAUGACGGCCUUCGGGUUGUAAACCUCUUUCAGCAGGGACGAAGCGCG